rnacentral:rRNA from 1 species
GUAAUGCUUAGGAAUCUGCCUAUUAGUGGGGGACAACAUUUCGAAAGGAAUGCUAAUACCGCAUGCGCCCUACGGGGGAAAGCAGGGGAUCUUCGGACCUUGCGCUAAUAGAUGAGCCUAAGUCGGAUUAGCUAGUUGGUGGGGUAAAGGCCUACCAAGGCGACGAUCUGUAGCGGGUCUGAGAGGAUGAUCCGCCACACUGGGACUGAGACACGGCCCAGACUCCUACGGGAGGCAGCAGUGGGGAAUAUUGGACAAUGGGCGGAAGCCUGAUCCAGCCAUGCCGCGUGUGUGAAGAAGGCCUUUUGGUUGUAAAGCACUUUAAGCGAGGAGGAGGCUCCUUUAGUUAAUACCUAAAGAGAGUGGACGUUACUCGCAGAAUAAGCACCGGCUAACUCUGUGCCAGCAGCCGCGGUAAUACAGAGGGUGCGAGCGUUAAUCGGAUUUACUGGGCGUAAAGCGUGCGUAGGCGGCUUUUUAAGUCGGAUGUGAAAUCCCUGAGCUUAACUUAGGAAUUGCAUUCGAUACUGGAAAGCUAGAGUAUGGGAGAGGAUGGUAGAAUUCCAGGUGUAGCGGUGAAAUGCGUAGAGAUCUGGAGGAAUACCGAUGGCGAAGGCAGCCAUCUGGCCUAAUACUGACGCUGAGGUA